rnacentral:lncRNA from 1 species
GCUUUAUGAGUGGGAGCCACAGGACAGGGCAAGACAGAAACAGAAGUGAUGUAACAUUUAAUUGCAAUUACACACUAAGAAAAUGAUCAAACGUAUGAAUACUUUCCAAGAAGUCUCUGCUGCUUCAAAACAGACCUGACCAUGGGAAAACUGCUACAAACUUAUCCAUACACCCAUACAUCAGAGAAAAUUAGGUUGGGAAUGACCUCUUAUGUUAUAUGAAUUUAGUACAUUUUAGAUGAAAUGACCUGAAUCUGAAAGCACUUCAGCAACAAAUAACAUGAUAAAGGAGGUAUCUCCAGCACACCAAGAAGGCCAUAUGGAGGACCUUCUAGCCUGGAAGGACCAUUCAAACUACAGUGAUUCAAUACAAGAUGAUUAAGAUUAUUCAAUAAGUCCCUGUCAAAGAAAAGAUUGCAUUGCCACAGUAAAGACCUUAAUUAUUGAUGAACAAGAUCAGUUUCUUCAGCCUGUCUUCAUAAGAGAAGUGCUCCAGUCCUUGGAUCAUCUUUGUAGCCCUUCUCUGGAGCCUCUCCAAAACCUCCAUAUCUUUCCUGUAUUGGAGGCCCCAGACCUGGACACAGUACUCUAGACGGGGCCUCACAAGGGCAGAAUAGAGGGGAACAAUCAACUUCCUCACUCUGCCGGGUAUGCAUCUUCUGAUGGAAACAAGGAUACGAUUGGCCUUCUGGGAUGCAAGUGCACACUGAAAGAACAAUAUCCAUAAUAAUGAAUGACGUGCUAUGUUGUUAAUUCACAUUGAAGCAAAGCAAAAUAUAUAAAAAUAAACAUAAUUAUUUAAAUAUUUCAUUUAUUAACUUCCAGAACUUCACUGUAUUAGUACAUU